rnacentral:lncRNA from 1 species
CUCCUCCUCCCUCCAUUGUUGCAGCCACCAAAACCCUAGCCGCCCCCCCCCCCCAAUCCCCUCCUCCCUAGGUGCUACUCCGUGCCGCUCGGAUCAUCGUCUUUUGGUGCGAAUCUCCAAUCGUUUUGGUGGAAGGAAGAAGGGAGGAAGGAAAAGGGGAGAACCCAAGGUGAUUUUUCUUUUGUGUUCAUCCCUUGUUCAUUUGCGCUGUGAUUCAAUUGAUUAGAUGUUGCGUUUGCGAUUAGAUAGGGGGGGCUGUCCAGAAUUUUGCGUGGUGGAUGAACAGCGGUAGUUCCAGCAGUUUUUAGUUUUUUUUCGUGAAGAUUUAAUGGGGAUCAAUUUGGGAAUCUUGUAGAACUUUGUUUUAUCUUUCCAACGAGUAUUUAUACGCUCAAUUUGGAGUUAUAAAUUAAAAGUUAUCAUCGUUUGAAUCCGGGUAUGUGGCUGUCCAGAAAACAGAUUUUUCAGAGUGAUGAACAGCAGCAGUGUUAGCAGUUUCUGGGGAUUUUUCGGGAGCAAUUAGUGUUAAUCAGUAUGAGAAUCUUGUAGCACUUUGUUUUAUCUUUCCAACGAGUAUUUAUGCGCUCAAUUUGGAGUUAUAAAUUAAAAGUUAUCAUCGUUUGAAUCCGGGUAUGUGGCUGUCCAGAAAACAGAUUUUUCAGAGUGAUGAACAGCAGCAGUGUUAGCAGUUUCUGGGGAUGUUUCGGGAGUAAUUAGUGUUAAUCAGUAUGAGAAUCAUGUAGGGAUUUUUCUUAUCUUCCCAACAAGUACUUAUGCGCUCAAAUCGGAAUUAUAUUUUAAAAGUUAUCGCUGUUUGAAUCCGCGUAUGUCGCUGCUCAAAUAAAAAAAACAGAUUGCAGGGUUUAUUUUGAGGACUGUUUAGAGGUAAGUAGAUGUUAGAAUUCAAUCAUGGGUUGUAUACAAAACUUGUGGGGAAUUUUAUGUAGUUGUCUCUGAAGUUUUUGUUUACCAUCACUGCUGUCCUAAAUUUUAAGUUAUGGAAUUGUUAAGCAGCGCUGCUGCAGUUUGGUUAGUGAGGGGAGAAUUGUUACCGCGGCGGGGUUUAAAAUUGCGCGUAGGUGCGGUGUGGUCUUUGAGUUUUUUUUCAUGAGAAUUUGGUGCACUAAGUUGGGUGUCAAAAACAGGUGGUGGACUUCCGGAUCGUUCUUAGGGAUUUUGCCCGAACUUCGGUAAAGGCAAGUAAAACAGUGAUGGUUAUUUCGUCUUUUGAUUGAAGAGGCUCAUACUUGAUUAUGUUUGUGCUAUUUGUGUUCGUAUCCAUAUUCCUAAUUGGGUACCAUCGUUUGAAAUUAUUCAUGCUUUAUUGAUUAUACAUGUGGAGGGUGUGGUUUGAUCAUGUUACCCAUGUGGUUAUUGAUGUGAAAUGGGUGGAAGUAUAUGUCUAGCACAUUUUAUUUGGGAAGAACUCAUGUUGUUGACAUGCAUAAUGCAUUCAUCAUCCAUUGCAUUGAAGUUUUCGUCGCGAUCUUAUGGUCCGACCGUACCGGUACAAUGAGCAUCAUAUGUUUCCCGAGAAGGGGUAUGAUGCAGCUUCAUAUCCUUAGAGGUAUGAAGGCAGAAGUCAUGUUGCAUCUGUAGCCAUGUGCAUUCAUGGAUGAAGUGUGGAACCUAUUUUGGUGAUGUGGAUAAGGUGGAUCUUUACUUUGUAAUUCAUCUUGGCAUUGAGUAAUUGAUUACUUGCUUACUUGCUGCAAAUUAAUAUUUAAGGAAGAAGUUGGGAACCAUGUGGUUGCUUAUGCACGGUUGGCUUGCAUUGUCCAACUGUUGUUUGUUUUUUUUACUUGCUGAGAUGUGUCAUCUCACUCUUGCAUUGUCUGAUGCAGGCACCUAAUCUUUGCUUUGGGAAAGAAGGGAUGUAGCAGCACGGCCACCACACUUUUAAAUAAAGGAAUAACUGUUUAUUAAUGAUGCUAAACAGGAAGGGUCAAGUCUAGGGAAUUAUUACAUUCUAAUCUUUCAUGGUAGUUGAACUGUUUAGUUUGGUGGGCUGAGAUGUCUAUCUUUUGUCUGGUCUUGAAUGUUCUUUUCUACCGUUGCAUUUUGAUUAUACUAUGGCAAUUAUUUUUUCUUUUAUAUCCUGUAUAAACUAUAUGCUUCCCUUGUUAUGCUACUUUCAAGGGAGGUGCUGCCGGAUUUUGCAAUACUUUCUUUCUCUAUGUGUUGCAUAAGUCUUGUAGAAAGGUUUUUUUUUGGUAUCAUCCAUUGUGUGGGAUCAGUGGGGUGUUACACGAGUGGAAUGGAAAGCAAAUGUGAAUUUGAACUUUGCGGAAUACGAGAGUAGUCAAAAGAAAAGUUAGAAUUAACCGGUUUCCUUUGUUUGUCGUGGUCGUCGUCCUUUUGGGAAGAUGUAGACUCAUCACUGUCGUCGUAGUAGACGAUCUCCUUGAUGCGUCUUGUCUUCUUCUUCUUCCCAUCUCUUCGCUUGUGGCCCGAGCCCGAGUCAUUGGACUUGUCAUCCCUUGGCUCGUUGACGAAGGAUUCUUUCUCCUUGUCGUUGAUCACAAUUCCCUUCCCCUUAGGAUCCAUCUCUUCGGGCGGUUAGUCCCUUACUUUGAAGAGAACGGCUCUGAUACCAAUUGAGAGCACCUAGAGGGGGGGGUGAAUAGGUGAUCCUGUAAAACUUCAAAACUUAAGCCACAAAAACUUGUUAAGAGUUAGCACAAGUAUGGCCAAGUGGUUAGAGAGGAGUCAAAACACAAUAACCACAAGAAAGCAAUC